UAAUAUUGUAAUUUUUACAGGAGCAGCAACAGCAGAGAGAAAUGUGAUUAGAGAAAUGUGAUUAUGUCAUGUACAACCACCAGCAUACAACUCUUGAUAUAUAUAUGCAUACAUGGACUAUCACUAAAAUAAAAUAUAUCACUAAAAGAGACAAUGCUCUUUUACCCAAAGUCGAAAAACAUGGGGGUCUUUGAGUUCAGCAUAGAUGUCUUUGUUAAUCAAACUUGUUUUUUAUGAAUUUCUAAUCAUUAUAGUGACAAGAAUUUUCUAACCUCAAGGGUGCUAAACACUAAUCGCAUUCGGCUGGCAACAAUUGAUGGCUCCUCAGCACGUCCGACAACUGCCAUUUACUCUAGCUGAAGAGUCUUCACAGGAAGCCAUGCCAUUCCCCUCAUAUAGUAUGCAUUUGCAAUUAGAGCACAAAAACAUUUCCACUGAAGCAGUACUUCAUCUGAUACUGGAGGUGUAGAUGACCAUCUGACUAUAGUUGGUUGUGGUGUACACAAGAUUGUGAAGAAUAUGAUGCUCAACCACAGAAUACAUUCAUCAACCUCCUUCGCAAAAAUCUUAGAUUUGACACUGGUGCUUCCUCCAUAAUUCUGCAGUGCUUCAAUUUCAACACCAGAUUCUUUCAUUGCAUUGAGUUCCUUCCACAAUCCUUCAUCAGUGCAGCCAAGAGCAUAUGCAUUCACCCCAGCAUUGAUGAGCUCCUCAUUUGGAUUUAGACGAAGUCAUUAGAGCCUGGAUGGGAUGGGAGGAGAGUCUUAGCAACGAGGAAGAGAAUGAAAGAGAUGAGUAGAAGCAAAAGAAUCUUACCGUUACCUCCAGGCCACGAAUUUUUUGCAAACGGGUACCAGAGAUUGGAAUGAGAGGAUUCCAAAGAAAUUUUCUCGCUAUAAUGAGAAUCGCUAUAUGGGGUGAAAGCGUGGUCAAUUUCGGAUUUUGCGUGACCACCUGGUUCGCUCUCUCGAUGAUUGCCGGGCUCCAACCAAAGGUAUCGCUUUAGCAUCUUGGAUAGGAUCCACGGCAACCGAGAUUGUUUGUCGUGACUGCCGUCCGUCAGAUUGUAGGAGUAGUGACGAAACAUGGUACAUAUGAGUAAAACCUGCACAAUAAAAAUACAGGAAAGAGAUUGGGUUGCUUAAAAGCACCAAAUCCUAACACCACUCACUGCCGUUGGAGUUUUGGCGGGCAGUGGCUGUUAUAAACCCUCCUCCACCCACUCAUUACCCACCAAAACAAACAUCCCUCUCAAUUAACAAGAAUAAAAUAUUUAUGGCCUGCACAUAUAAAAACUGGGUCUUUAUAUUUCUUAAAUCCUUUAUCUACGCCAGAGCUGGGAUAGUGGGAUGCUCUGUAAGGCUCUCCUCAGAUUUGCUUUCUUUUGAACGACACCACCUCCACCCCCUACGUAUUCAUCUUAGAAAAUGAGAGGAGGUCUGUGGCAACUUGGUCAAUCAAUCACCCGCCGUCUUGCUCAGGCUGAUAAGAAAGCAAUCACUCGUCGAUACUUUGCCUCAGAAGCUGAUCUCAAAAAGACUGUUCUUUAUGAUUUCCACAUUGCUCAUGGAGGGAAGAUGGUGCCAUUUGCUGGAUGGAGUAUGCCUAUUCAGUACAAGGACUCGAUCAUGGACUCUACUAUAAAUUGUAGAGAGCAUGGUAGCCUCUUUGAUGUCUCCCAUAUGUGUGGACUGAGCCUCAAUGGAAAGGACUGUAUUCCUUUUCUUGAGAAACUUGUUAUUGCUGAUGUUGCUGGCCUUGCACCUGGAACUGGGACCCUAACUGUCUUUACAAACGAGAAGGGGGGAGCAAUUGAUGAUUCAGUGAUCACCAAGGUGACAGAUGAUCACAUAUACUUAGUUGUGAAUGCAGGAUGUAGGGAUAAGGAUCUGGCUCACAUUGAGGAGCAUAUGAAGUCAUUCAAGGCAAAAGGUGGUCAAGUCUCAUGGCACAUCCACGAUGAAAGAUCUCUUCUUGCUCUCCAGGGUCCUCUUGCUGCUCCAGUUCUUCAACACCUGACAAAAGAGGAUUUGAGCAAGAUAUACUUUGGGGAGUUCCGUAUGCUAGACAUCAAUGGAUCGCACUGCUUUCUCACUAGGACAGGGUACACUGGUGAAGAUGGGUUUGAAAUCUCAGUUCCUUCAGAUAAUGCUGUCGAUCUUGCAAAAGCAAUCUUAGACAAAUCUGAAGGAAAAGUAAGGCUGACAGGGUUGGGUGCACGAGACAGCCUUCGACUUGAAGCUGGGCUGUGUUUAUAUGGCAAUGACAUGGAACAACACACAACACCAGUAGAGGCAGGAUUGACUUGGGCAAUAGGGAAAAGACGAAAGGCUGAAGGUGGCUUUCUUGGUGCUGAGGUGAUUCUUAAACAACUUGCAGAGGGUCCAAAAAUCAGGCGUGUAGGAUUUUCAUCUUCUGGUCCACCUCCUAGAUCCCACAGUGAGAUUCAGGAUGAAAAAGGAACAAACAUUGGGGAAAUUACCAGUGGAGGAUUUAGUCCAUGCUUGAAGAAGAACAUUGCCAUGGGGUAUGUGAAUUCUGGAUACCACAAGGCAGGCACCAAAGUUAAGCUAGUGGUUCGAGGGAAGGCCUAUGAUGGAGUUGUCACAAAAAUGCCAUUUGUACCAACUAAAUAUUACAAGCCAUCUUAACCCAUCUAUGGUGCUGCAGCUCCUUUAUUAUCUAAUCAGUUCCUGUUUAAACUCGAUUACUUUCAACGAGAGUUCCCUCUUUUCUAUCUGCAAGAACUUCAUUCAUUGUGAUGAUUAUGCUUUUUAUUGAUACCAAUUAUGAAUAAUUGCAGCAGUUGCUUCAAUUUGUGAAGACAAAUCUCAUUGCACGAUAGUAAAAUGAAAAAAAAAAAAAUAAAUUCAAUUUACUUGUUUUAACAUGAUCAGGUGGUCUCAUGAAGCCUUCACGUAGUAUCAAGUGUAUCUCAUUUGCUUGGAUUAGGGACAUCUAAUUUUGGAUUAGGAAAAUGUCUUCUUGGUGGUGAAGUGUUACUAUGAUUAUCAGAAAAUGUGGAACGCUAUACAGGGAGAAAAGAAUUUGUCAUAUUUGGAACGAACUAUCAUUGCCUUCUCGUGUGUUUCGACAGCUGUUAUACAAAUAAUUCAAGAAAUUUGUGUCAAGGCCGAAAUUGAAGUUGGUCUUUCGUGCGCCAGUAGACAGCAUUUGCAGUUUCUGAUGUUCCAAGCUGCAAAAGUAGGAUUUUUAGAUUUGUUAGUGUAUUCAUGGAUAUAGCAAUAUCUCUCUUGUAUGCGGUAUUCCAUCCUCCUGAAAAACAAAAUUUACAAUAGAACAAGAGAUGGAGAAUCAAUUAACACCGUCACCAUCUUUAGCUACUAAAAUGAAUGAUACCAUCUUUAGCUACU
rnacentral:misc_RNA from 1 species